UAACCAUUAUAUAAUUUGAAAUAUAACGCAUAGCUUAGCGUAUGUUUAUACCAGGGAAUCAUAACGAUACAAGAGCUCAUAGAGAUUGAACGAUGAUUGAUGACAAAUUAAAUAAUUAUUGCCAUUGAACUUAUAUCCUUUCAACUAGAUUGUACCAGGAUACUAUAACAGCUGAGGAGGUGUCUUUAAAUCAUUUUGAUGACGGAAACGCUGUAUUGAGUCAUUUUAUUAUUCGUUCAACUUAUUGGUCUUAACUUUUAAAAAAUCUGCUAAUUUAUUGUUACUCUUUUCGCUUAGAAGAAUCGUCAAGAUAACUUUGAAACAUCAAAAUUCUCGUCAUUUCUUUUGGUAUAAGAUUAACAUUCUUAUAUUGAAACUUCACAAGGUAUUUGGCCUUGCCUUACUUAGACUAUUUUUAAUCAAUUUUUAGUAAUUUUAGCCUUGAGCAUGGCGUUGAAAUAUUUCUGACCGCCUUUCUAAAAUAUAAAAGAGCGCGUGACCUUAUAGUAUUCAUUACGUAUACCUUUU
rnacentral:misc_RNA from 1 species